rnacentral:rRNA from 1 species
UACGUAGGGGGCAAGCGUUGUCCGGAUUUAUUGGGCGUAAAGAGCGUGUAGGCGGCCAGGUAGGUCAGCUGUGAAAACUCGAGGCUCAACCUCGAGACGUCGGUUGAAACCACCUGGCUAGAGUCCGGAAGAGGAGAGUGGAAUUCCUGGUGUAGCGGUGAAAUGCGCAGAUACCAGGAAGAACACCCGUGGCGAAGGCGGCUCUCUGGGACGGUACUGACGCUGAGACGCGAAAGCGUGGGGAGCGAACAGG